AAAUGCGAUAAGUAAUGUGAAUUGCAGAAUUCCGUGAAUCAUCGAAUCUUUGAACGCACAUUGCGCCCUCUUGCAUUCCGGGGGGCAUGCCUGUCCGAGCGUCAUUACGCACCCUCAAGCCCGGCUUGUGUGAUGGGCCCCGGCGUCUCGUUCGCGAGACGGGCCCGAAAGGCAGCGGCGGCGUCGACCCGAUGAGCCCGAGCGUAUGGGGACUUCUGUCACACGUUCGCGGUGCGGACCGGCGCCUGCUUGACUUUUCUGAUUAUCCAGGUUGACCUCGGAUCAGGUAGGGAUACCCGCUGAACUUAAGC
rnacentral:misc_RNA from 1 species